rnacentral:rRNA from 1 species
UACGGGGGGGGCAAGCGUUGUUCAGAAUUACUGGGCGUAAAGGGCUCGUAGGCGGCCAACUAAGUCAGACGUGAAAUCCCUCGGCUUAACCGGGGAACUGCGUCUGAUACUGGAUGGCUUGAGUUCGGGAGAGGGAUGUGGAAUUCCAGGUGUAGCGGUGAAAUGCGUAGAUAUCUGGAGGAACACCGGUGGCGAAGGCGGCAUCCUGGACCGACACUGACGCUGAUGAGCGAAAGCCAGGGGAGCAAACGGG